rnacentral:rRNA from 1 species
UACGUAGGGGGCAAGCGUUGUCCGGAAUUAUUGGGCGUAAAGGGUGCGUAGGCGGCGCGGUAGGUCGGGUGUGAAAUCUCGGGGCUUAACUCCGAAACUGCAUUCGAUACUGCCGUGCUUGAGGACUGGAGAGGAGACUGGAAUUUACGGUGUAGCGGUGAAAUGCGUAGAUAUCGUAAGGAAGACCAGUGGCGAAGGCGGGUCUCUGGACAGUUCCUGACGCUGAGGCACGAAGGCCAGGGGGAGCAAACGGG